rnacentral:rRNA from 1 species
UACGUAGGGUGCGAGCGUUGUCCGGAAUUACUGGGCGUAAAGAGCUCGUAGGUGGUUUGUCGCGUUGUUCGUGAAAACUCACAGCUCAACUGUGGGCGUGCGGGCGAUACGGGCAGACUGGAGUACUGCAGGGGAGACUGGAAUUCCUGGUGUAGCGGUGGAAUGCGCAGAUAUCAGGAGGAACACCGGUGGCGAAGGCGGGUCUCUGGGGCAGUAACUGACGCUGAGGAGCGAAAGCGUGGGGAGCGAACAGG